rnacentral:lncRNA from 1 species
AUGCACCUCUCUGCUUACACCUGGCUUGGCGAGUUGGAUGGCCUGCUCUUUUCUCUGUCCUCUGGAGAGUCCCAGCCUGUAGUGAGGAGUGAUGUUUGCCCCAUCUCCGGAGAGCCAGACACGGCAGACACAUGGAGUUUUGCUGAACAGCACUGCUAUGGCCAGAGACCCUUGCAGAUUAUCAGAACACCGUGUGUUUCUUUCCCGAGUCACUGCUCUUUGAUCCAAGUGAAGAAGUCCAGCUCUUCCCCUCACAAAGAGAGCUUUGGUGAGCAUGCACCUGCCUCUCCUUGGAGGAUGUGCAGAAAGGGUACUACUUAAAUCACCCUCAACUGCAAAAUAUGUAGCUAUUGAGAGAGCAGCUUUUACUGGAAGAUGGCGGAGUGGUGAGCAGCAGAGAGGACCUCUCUGUGGUCUGGUGUGCAGGAACCGGAAUAGAGCAACAUGAGGAUGAGAAGAAGGAGGGAAGUGGGUCCCCAGGACCCAGGAAGGAUCUGAAGCCCUUGGGAAGAAUGAAGAGAGAGUCUCCAGCAAAUAUGAAGGAGGUAACAGGCAGAACCUCCUACUGAGCUCAGACUCACUGAGGUGGGGAAGGGCAGCUCAGACUUGCAGAUGAACCAUGGCUACUGCUGACCCCAAAGACCUCCACAGAGAAACACACCAGUGGAGUGGAGCAGUGAACGCAAUGGACUGCAGUGGUUGGUGAGUUGUUGGGGUUUGGACUCAGGCUAGGGCAACUGGCCAUUAGCCAUCUUGGAGCGGGGCCAACUGAGCUCAGAACUGAGAACAGCUGUGGGUCAGCUCCAUUUAGUGGCUUUCAGGGUCAGUAGGAGUUCAAACCUGCAGGAGGUCAGGGAGCUUAGUUUGAGUCAGUGGGGGAUGCAUGGGGUGUUGGGGACUCCACAGGUCCAGUUCCAGCCUCACAGCCAGGAACCAGCCUGAACUUCAGUGGAACUAAAGGUGCAGGUUUGCUGGGAUUAUCCACUACCCCAAUGUAAUUACAGCUGGCUUGCUGGGAUUAACCCACUCAGAUCUGUACACUGCCUACACUGUCUACCAGUGACAGCAGAGACAGGCCUUGAAGUGGAUAUUGGUGUUUCUUCUUCUCUUUUCUUUUUUAAUUUCUCUUUUCUUAGUUUAGUGUUUGUUUCUUUUUCUUGAUUGUCCUUAUUUUUAUAGGACUUCAAACAUGGUUUCUAUGUUUUGUUGUUAUUUUGUUCUUGUUUUUAUCUCUUUCUUUUCUCUUUCCCUCCUGUCUUCUUCACCACUUUCCCAAAGUUAUCAUGAUAUUCCAUUGUCCUCUAGCUUUGCUUCCAAUCUCUUCCUUUUCCAUUUCUCCAUUUCCCCACCCUAACUUAUUUUAAAUAUCCUCUGAGGUAAAAGUGCUAUAAUGAGAGCAUAUUUACUACAAACAUUUUUCUGGUUUUAUUUUAGAUUUUUGUUAUAGAAUGACAAAUCUAAUUCAUACAGUUAAAGGUGACAAAUUAAUAGUUACCACAGUUUGUAAUGUUCUAGGCUGUGUUUGAG